GGUUACAUCGGUGACAGGUGGUGCAUGGUUGUCGUCAGCUCGUGUCGUGAGAUGUUGGGUUAAGUCCCGCAACGAGCGCAACCCCUAUUGUUAGUUGCCAUCAUUCAGUUGGGCACUCUAGCGAGACUGCCGGUAAUAAACCGGAGGAAGGUGGGGAUGACGUCAAAUCAUCAUGCCCCUUAUGACCUGGGCUACACACGUGCUACAAUGGUUGGUACAACGAGUUGCGAGUCGGUGACGGCGAGCUAAUCUCUUAAAGCCAAUCUCAGUUCGGAUUGUAGGCUGCAACUCGCCUACAUGAAGUCGGAAUCGCUAGUAAUCGCGGAUCAGCACGCCGCGGUGAAUACGUUCCCGGGCCUU
rnacentral:rRNA from 1 species